GACGAACGCUGGCGGCGUGCCUAAUACAUGCAAGUUGAGCGCUGAAGGAUGGUACUUGUACCAACUGGAUGAGCAGCGAACGGGUGAGUAACGCGUGGGGAAUCUGCCUUUGAGCGGGGGACAACAUUUGGAAACGAAUGCUAAUACCGCAUAAAAACUUUAAACACAAGUUUUAAGUUUGAAAGAUGCAAUUGCAUCACUCAAAGAUGAUCCCGCGUUGUAUUAGCUAGUUGGUGAGGAAAAGGCUCACCAAGGCGAUGAUACAUAGCCGACCUGCGAGGGUGAUCGGCCACAUUGGGACUGAAACAACGCCCAAACUCCUACGGGAGGCAGCAGUAGGGAAUCUUCGGCAAUGGACGACAGUCUGACCGCGCAACGCCGCGUGAGUGAAGAAGGUUUUCGGGUCGUAAAACUCUGUUGGUAGAGAAGAACGUUGGUGAGAGUGGAAAGCUCAUCAAGUGACGGUAACUACCCAGAAAGGGACGGCUAACUACGUG
rnacentral:rRNA from 1 species